UGGGCACUCACGGCCGUCUCUCUCCCUUGCUUCCCUCAUGGCACCUGGCCUCGGCUCCUUGCGUCGGCCUCCCCUGGGUCCGGCUUCUUCCUGGCGGCUCCCCGAGCUCCGUCUCCAUGGCGCGCUCGGGAUUCUCCAAGCUCGUCGCGUUCGGCUUAUUCCCUGCGCGCCGUGGAGUUUCCCCGUCGCGCCCUCUGCUCCAUCUUCCCCAACCGCGCGCUGCUCGGAGUCCCUCCCCAGUCGCGAUUUCCCUGCCCCAGCGCCUGCUGCGAGCUCGCCAGGAUGCCCCUGCUCAUCUUCCCUUGGCCGCGGGCCCUUGCCAUGCUCGCCGAGCUCCCUCUGGUCUUCUCUGCUCGCCGAGAUUCUCCCUGGUGCCGCGUCGCGCCCUCCCCUCGGUCUUCAACGUUGAACACCGCCAUCUCUCUGGUGUUCUGCGCUGGCCGCAGAUCGAAGCUUUGCCGUGCGCCCAGUCGAGCGAUCCCCUUCGCGCGCGUUCCCUGCGCUUGCCCCAGCCGCGCUCUGGCCGUCCCAGCUCCACUCGGCGCCCCCUCGGCUCGGCCCAAUGCUGCUGGUCGUGUCCCUCGGCGCCGGUCGCUUCUUCUUGCUAUUCCAUGCCGCGGCAAUCGCCCUGCUGCUCCAGUGCGCCCAGCCGAGCGAUUCUCUGCUCCGUGCGCGCGGUAUUUCUCCAGCAUGCCGCGCCCAGUCCCUGCUCCUUGUUUUUCUCUGUGAUGUGGAGUCCCUGCUCAGAUUGUGCCGCGCUUGCUGUCGUGUUCGGCCUGCUCCGGAUCCGAAGUUGGUCGUCUCGGUGUGAAAUCGCCGUCGUGUCUGGGAUUUUGACAGUCUCCCUACUCGCCGUCGAACUUGGGUUCUCUGCUCAUCCUUUAGCGCUAGCGCGUCGCCGUGAUGUUACCGUCUCGCCGUGAUUCCCUGAUGGUUCGUGUCUCCGCAUGUUCAAAUCGCCGUUCCGCGCGUCAGCAAGAAAUCAUAAGAAUCGGGUGAAGACGAAGCUAGCAGCGUGAUAUUCCCUAAGCGCUCGACAAAUUGCCUGGAUCGGAAAAUCGCUACCGAUCUCGCGGAUUCGUGUCAACUGUUGAAAUGGUACGUGAAUUAACCACGCGAUGCGGAGAACCAGAACUGAGUCGACCACAAGAUGUCGCUACGCGUGAGCCGCUCGCGAGGUGAUGCUGAUGGAC
rnacentral:misc_RNA from 1 species